GAGAACGGUGGUGGUAGGAGGUCAGGAAAAUGACUUCGAAAAAUUUCAGGAAGUCAGGAAAAUGACUCCUGGCUUGAGGCGAUCGGUCAGGAAAAUGACCUUGAUGGUGGGGAGAAUGGUGGUGGUAGGAGGUCAGGAAAAUGACUUCGAACAAUUCUAGGAAGUCAGGAAAAUGACUCCUUGCUCGAGGCGAUCGGUCAGGAAAAUGACCUUGAUGGUGGGGAGAACGAUGGUGGUAGGAAGUUAGGAAAAUGACUUCGAAACGAUUGCUAGUCGAAAAUUAGGUAAGUUAAUACGCGCGGAAAACAAUAAAAGUACCGAUCGAUUCAUAUACGCGAUAUAAGCAGAAUGCAAAAGGGAAAGUUCAAAAGGUUAUUACAGUACGAAGUAGGGGCACGUUACAAACAAAACAUAAAGGGCUAAUCUAAGCAGCAACAUUGGAAGUAGUGGACUCCGGGGCAACGACCGGGACACCAGAUGGGAUUGCCUCGCCGGUACUAGCAGGGGGCUCCUCGUCGGCAGUUGGCAGUUGGGCCGAAAGAUCGAUCAGUUGACCAUCCACGAAGACUUUCAUGAUGCUGAACCCAUCGUGUUCCAGGGGGGUGCUGAAGAAAUAAUGGCACUGGGCAAUUCCUUGCUCAAAGCCUGUCUGUCGCUCGUUGCAUAUCUCAUCGUUCAGGGAGGCGUUCUCAGUUGCCAGCUUCUCUCGUUCUGCAACAACCGCAUCUUUCUCUUUAAGGAGUUGUUCAUUCUGAGACGUCUCCUUUUGUAGGUCAAGCUUCAGGGUGUUGAUAGAACGCUUGAGCCGGUCGAAUUCUUUCUGGGCGACUGUUUGGGAAGCAACGACUUUGGCCCGCUUGUCCUCGGCAGAAUUAGAUUUCUUCGAUGCGAGUAGUAAGGGUGGUGUUCUCCUUUUGGGCCUUCUCUAAAUCUUGUUGAGCGGUUUCCAACUCGGACACUAAGAGAGGUUUCGUGGUUCCGACAAAGUAGUUCAUACAGAUGCUCGCCCGAGCUAUGAGCUCAUAUGCCAUGUUGAGCAAUUCAGAAGGGGUCAUUUCCUUGAAGGGUUUCUUCUCUUCUGCAUUCAGGUUGAAUUGGAGGCGAUCCGCGACGUGCACGUUUGGAUCGAGGGGGCC
rnacentral:lncRNA from 1 species